rnacentral:rRNA from 1 species
UACAGAGGUCUCGAGCGUUAGGCGGAAUCACUGGGCUUAAAGCGUGUGUAGGCGGAUCGGUAAGUACCUUGUGAAAUCCCACAUCUUAACUGUGGAACUGCUUGGUAUACUGCCAGUCUUGAGCCAGCUAGGGGCUACCGGAACAAAUGGUGGAGCGGUGAAAUGCGUAGAUAUCAUUUGGAACGCCAAUGGUGAAAACAGGUAGCUGGGGCUGUGCUGACGCUGAGACACGAAAGCCAGGGGAGCGAACGGG